UAGAGAAUCGGGUGAGAAGGACAACAUGGCGGAAUAUUCCAGCGAAGCUUCCAGUGACGCUACGAUCAUCCAUCCUGACACCUCGCAAGAUUCGGGUACUACCAAGGAUGUAGAAUCGCCCAAUCCAGAGAAGGAAUUGGCUGGAGAGACUAAAAUGUCCCUUACAGAAGGUGAGUGAUUUGUAU